GACGAACGCUGGCGGCGUGCUUAACACAUGCAAGUCGAACGGAAAGGCCAUGCUUUUGUGGGGUGCUCGAGUGGCGAACGGGUGAGUAACACGUGAGUAACCUGCCCCUGACUGUGGGAUAACUUCAGGAAACUGGGGCUAAUACCGGAUAGGAGCUCCUGCUGCAUGGUGGGGGUUGGAAAGUUUCGGCGGUGGGGGAUGGUCUCGCGGCUUAUCAGCUUCUUGGGGGGGUAGUGGCUUACCAAGGCUUUGACGGAUAGCCGGCCUGAGAGGGUGACCGGCCACAUUGGGACUAAGAGACGGCCCAGACUCCUACGGGAGGCAGCAGUGGGGAAUAUUGCACAAUGGGCGAAAGCCUGAUGCAGCAACGCCGCGUGCGGGAUGACGGCCUUCGGGUUGUAAACCGCUGUCGCCUGUGACGAAGCGUGAGUGACGGUAAUUGGUAAAGAAGCACCGGCUAACUACGUG
rnacentral:rRNA from 1 species